ACGGGAGGCAGCAGUGGGGGAUAUUGCACAAUGGGGGAAACCCUGAUGCAGCGACGCCGCGUGAGUGAUGAAGUAUUUCGGUAUGUAAAGCUCUAUCAGCAGGGAAGAAAAUGACGGUACCUGACUAAGAAGCUCCGGCUAAAUACGUGCCAGCAGCCGCGGUAAUACGUAUGGAGCAAGCGUUAUCCGGAUUUACUGGGUGUAAAGGGAGCGUAGACGGCGUGGCAAGUCUGAUGUGAAAGCUAUGGGCUCAACCCAUAAACUGCAUUGGAAACUGUCAUGCUAGAGUGUCGGAGAGGUAAGCGGAAUUCCUAGUGUAGCGGUGAAAUGCGUAGAUAUUAGGAGGUACACCAGUGGCGAAGGCGACUUUCUGGACUGUAACUGACACUGAGGUACGAAAGCGUGGGGAGCAAACAGGAUUAGAUACCCUGGUA
rnacentral:rRNA from 1 species